rnacentral:tRNA from 1 species
GUCUCUGUAGCUUAUAAAAAGCAUGACACUGAAGAUGUCAAGAUGGCUGCCAAACACACCCAGAGACA